UGACAAAAUGCCCUCUUCCCUGGAAC
rnacentral:piRNA from 1 species